AACAAACUCUCUUUAACCCUCUUUGCCUACAAAGAUGUACAUGUCUGCACACGUAAGUUGUGCAUGUGAUAGAAUCAUGUAACACAUCCUAUCGUAAUACAGUUUUUCAACUAUAUUGUGAUUAAAUUUUACUUUGGUCAAAUCGGCUGGAUUUCAAAUACUGAAUAUGCAUUCACUAUAGAAAUCUCAUCUGAUUAUUAUAAUACAGUUUUCAACUAUAAUUUGUGAUUAAAUUUUACUUUGGUCAAAUCGGCUGGAUUUCAAAUACUGAAUAUGCAUUCACUAUAGAAACCUCAUCUGAUUAUUCUCGUCUAUCUUAAAUAGGGUUUUGAUUUUGAUCAACACCCUGG
rnacentral:lncRNA from 1 species